rnacentral:lncRNA from 1 species
AUGGGAGGAAAACUGAGCAAGAAGAAGAAGGGAUAUGAUGUGAGCGACCCCAAACAGGCCAACGAUGAGACUGCAGCUGCAGGUGCAGAGGAGUCUGCUAAAGUGGGGGCUGCAGCCCCACCCACGAAUGCUGAGGUGACAGCUGAGGCAAACAAUGUGGAAGCAGUAACUGAAGCUGUUAAAGCUCCAGAAGAGCCCAAAACUGCACCUCCUGAGGAACCAGUUGCAGCGCAGGAGGCAGCUCCAGUAGAGACAGCUCCUGCUGCAAAAGAGGAGGCUGUUCCAGUGGCAGUGGAACCAGCUGCAACAACAGAGGAACCUGCAGCUCCAGUAGUAGAAGCAGCAGUUGCAGUUGCAGCAGCAGUAGAGGCAGCUCCAGUAGAGGUACCAGUUGUAGAAGUAGAAGAACCUGCUCCAGCACCAGAGGAGCCUGCUCCAGCACCAGAGGAGCCAGCCCCAGCACCAGAGGAGCCAGCCCCAGCACCAGAGGAGCCAGCCCCAGUUGUAGAGGAAAAAACUCCAGUAGAGGAACCAGAUGUUCCAGCAGCAGCAGCAGCAGAAGAACCUGUGCCUGAACCUGAGCCUGUAGCUGUACCUGAAGAAGUUGCUUUAGAAGAACCUGCUGCAAUUGUAGAAUCUUUGCCAGAGCCAGAGGUUGUUCCUAUCAGCAUGGAAGAAGCACCCAAGGCCGCUGAGCCAGAGCCCAUCGUAGAGACUGUUAUUGAGCCAGCCGCUGCUGUGGAGGAGACAGUGCUGCCCACUGCUGUCCCUGAACCUGAGCCAGUGGCCGAGCCAGUGCUUGAGCAAGUCCCAGAACCAGAGCCAGAACCUGUACCAGAGCAAGUCCCAGAGCCAGAGCCAGAACAAGUGCUAGAGCCAGAACCUGAACAGAAGGUUGAUGCAGUAGAAUCCCCAGCAGAGGAAAAAGUUGAUGAAGUUGAGCUAGAACCAGUUGUAGCCACGUCUGAACCCGAGACCGUGGAAGCAGAAAUACCUGAGGUCUUGGAGAUUAAGGCAGAGGAGGUCCCCAAUGAUCAGGAAUCUGUUGCAACUGAUGCCUCCAGCGCCGAGGCGGCAGCUGAGCCAGAAGCAGAAGAACCUGUCCCUGAGAUUGUUGUCUCAGAGUCUGUGUCUGCUAACGAGAUUAGUGCGGAGUCCGAAGUGGUAGCCGAAGCAUCUGUGGAAGAGGUGCCUUCCCAGGAGCCCGAACCAGAAUGUCAAAUGGAAAAUGGAAAUGUAGAGAGUCCCUCUGUUACAGAGGAUGUGGAGGAUGCACCCCCAGCUGUGAAUGGAGAGUGCACAGAUUCCGCUGUCACACAUACAGAGGAAUGUGUUAAUGGCGAUGAAAAGCCAGAGGAGACGCCUAUCAAGGAGAAGAGUGACUUUGAACUGAAAAAGGAUGUGAGCCUAGGUGGAGAUGUCCAGGAAGUUCCCGAUGGAGUCUCUGACAUGGCGGGCGAACUCGGCACUGAGGUCACCCAGGCAGUCUGA